UAUUAAUAUAUAUAUAUAUAAUUUAUAAUCCGCACCGCAAAUAUUAUUUCACCAAUCAAACAUUAUUCUGUACCGCUUAUUUUGUAUAAACCGCACUUGUCCUACAAAUAUAUUUCUCCCACACGUACCGUAGUUGAACCGUACCGCACUGUAAUAACGCUUUUCCCACACAACAAAAAACGCGGUUACCAUUCAGACACUUAGUUGUAGAAAUGUUAUUUUU
rnacentral:sRNA from 1 species